rnacentral:rRNA from 1 species
CAGCAGCCACGGGAAUACGUAGGGUGCGAGCGUUAAUCGGAAUUACUGGGCGUAAAGCGUGCGCAGGCGGUUCGUUAAGACAGAUGUGAAAUCCCCGGGCUUAACCUGGGAACUGCAUUUGUGACUGGCGAGCUAGAGUAUGGCAGAGGGGGGUAGAAUUCCACGUGUAGCAGUGAAAUGCGUAGAGAUGUGGAGGAAUACCGAUGGCGAAGGCAGCCCCCUGGGCCAAUACUGACGCUCAUGCACGAAAGCGUGGGGAGCAAACAGGAUUAGAUACCCCGGUAGUCCCUGUCUCUUAUAC